UACGGAGGGUGCAAGCGUUAUCCGGAUUCACUGGGUUUAAAGGGUGCGUAGGAGGACAGGGAAGUCAGUGGUGAAAUCUUGGGGCUUAACCCCGAAACUGCCGUUGAUACUCUCUGUCUUGAAUCCCGUGGAGGUGAGCGGAAUAUGUCAUGUAGCGGUGAAAUGCUUAGAUAUGACAUAGAACACCAAUUGCGAAGGCAGCUCGCUACACGAAGAUUGACUCUGAGGCACGAAAGCGUGGGGAUCAAACAGG
rnacentral:rRNA from 1 species